rnacentral:rRNA from 1 species
CGCGUAGGCGGCCUUCUAAGUCGAACGUGAAAUCCCCGGGCUCAACCCGGGAACUGCGUCCGAUACUGGAAGGCUUGAAUCCGGGAGAGGGAUGCGGAAUUCCAGGUGUAGCGGUGAAAUGCGUAGAUAUCUGAGGAACACCGGUGGCGAAGGCGGCAUCCUGGACCGGCAUUGACGCUGAGGCGCGAAAGCCAGGGGAAGGCAAACG